rnacentral:rRNA from 1 species
UACGUAGGGGGCAAGCGUUGUCCGGAAUUAUUGGGCGUAAAGAGCGCGUAGGCGGUCCGAUAAGUCGGCUGUGAAAGUCAGGGGCUCAACCCUUGGAAGCCGGCCGAUACUGUCGGACUAGAGUCCGGAAGAGGCGAGUGGAAUUCCCGGUGUAGCAGUGAAAUGCGUAGAUAUCGUAAGGAAGACCGGUGGCGAAGGCGGAUCUCUGGACAGUUACUGACACUGAGGCACGAAGGCCAGGGGAGCAAACGGG